ensembl:lncRNA
CCCCUUUGUGUGUCCCCACCUUUGGGUGUCACCGCGGCUGCGUCACUGCCCGUGGUGGCACCGCCCGUUUGUGGUGGCAACGGAGGGACGGCAACAGCGGCACAGCCCUACAAUCCUACAACGGCCCCACAAUGGCCCUAUAAUGGCCCUACAAUCCUACAGCGGCCCCACAAUGGCCCUAUAAUGGCCCUACAAUCCUACAACGGCCCCACAAUGGCCCUAUAAUGGCCCUACAAUCCUACAACGGCCCCACAAUGGCCCUAUAAUGGCCCUACAAUCCUACAACGGCCCCACGAUGGCCCUAUAAUGGCCCUACAAUCCUACAACGGCCCCACGAUGGCCCUAUAAUGGCCCUACAAUCCUACAGCGGCCCCACAAUGGCCCUAUAAUGGCCCUACAAUCCUACAACGGCCCCACAAUGGCCCUAUAAUGGCCCUACAAUCCUACAACGGCCCCAUAAUGGCCCUACAGUGGCCUCAGGACGGCCCUAAAAUGGCCCUAUAAUGGCCCUACAAUCCUACAACGGCCCCACAAUGGCCCUAUAAUGGCCCUACAAUCCUACAACGGCCCCAUAAUGGCCCUAUAAUGGCCCUACAAUCCUACAACGGCCCCAUAAUGGCCCUAUAAUGGCCCUACAAUCCUACAACGGCCCCAUAAUGGCCCUAUAAUGGCCCUACAAUCCUACAACGGCCCCACAAUGGCCCUAUAAUGGCCCUACAAUCCUACAACGGCCCCAUAAUGGCCCUAUAAUGGCCCUACAAUCCUACAACGGCCCCAUAAUGGCCCUAUAAUGGCCCUACAAUCCUACAACGGCGCCGCAAUGGCCCUAUAAUGGCCCUACAAUCCUACAGCGGCCCCACGAUGGCCCUAUAAUGGCCCUACAGAGGCCUCAGGACGGCCCUAUAGUGGCCCUAUAAUGGCCCUACAAUCCUACAACGUCCCCACAAUGGCCCUAUAAUGGCCCUACAGUGGCCUCAGGACGGUCCUAAAAUGGCCCUAUAAUGGCCCUAUAAUGGCCCUACAGUGGCCUCAGGACGGCCCUAAAAUGGCCCUAUAAUGGCCCUACAGUGGCCUCAGGACAGCCCUAUAAUGGCCCUAUAAUGGCCCCAGGACGGCCCUAUAAUGGCCCUACAAUGGCCUCAUAAGGUCCCUAUAAUGGCCCUACAGUGGCCCCAGGGUGGCCCUAUAAUGACCCUAUAAUGGCCCUACAAUGGCCCCAGGAUGGCCCUACAAUCCUACAACGGCCCCAGAAGGUCCCUAUAAUGGCCCUAUAAUGGCCCUACAUUGGCCCCAGGACGGCCCUAUAAUGGCCCCAGGAUGGCCCCAUAAGGUCCCUAUAAUGGCCCUACAAUGGCCACAGAAUGGCCCUACAAUGACCCCAUAGCUGCCCCAGAAUGGCCCUACAGUGGCCCCAGGAUGGCCCUAUAAUGGCCCUAUAGUGGCCCUACAGUGGCCCCAUCUGCCCCAUAAGGUCUCCAUAUCUGUCCCAUAAUGUCCCCAUAACCCCACACAGAUGUCCCCGUGGUGUCCCCAUAAUGUCCCCAUAAUGACCCCGUAAUGUCCCAAUAAUGUCCCCAAUGGUGUCCCCACCCUGAGAUGUCCCCAAUGUCCCCAACUUCCCAAUGUCCCCAUUGUCCCCAAUGAUGUCCCCAUAACCCCAAUGUCCCCAAUGAUGUCCCCAAUGCCCCCAAUGUCCCCACUGACCCCAAUGUCCCCAAUGUCCCCAUAUCCCCAAAGAUGUCCCCAAUGUCCCCUUUGACCCCAUUGCCCCCAUAUCCCCAAAGAUGUCCCCAAUGUCCCCAAUGUCCCCAAUGUCCCCCAUUACUCUCAGUGUCCCCAAUGUCUCCAAUGUCCCCAACGACCCCAUACACCCAAUGAGGUCCCCAACGUCCCCUUUGACCCCAUUGUCCCCCUAUCCCCAAUGAUGUCCCCA